UGUAUAUGUAUGUGUAUAUAUGUAUGUAUAUGUAUGUGUAUAUAUGUAUGUGUAUAUAUGUAUAUGUAUGUGUAUGUGUGUAUAUGUAUGUGUAUGUGUGUAUAUGUAUGUGUAUAUAUGUAUGUAUAUAUAUGUAUGUAUGUAUGUAUGUAUGUAUAUAUAUAUAUAUAUAUAUGUAUAUGUAUGUAUAUAUGUAUAUGUAUGUAUAUAUGUAUAUAUAUAUGUAUAUAUGUAUAUAUAUAUGUAUAUGUAUGUAUAUAUGUAUAUAUGUGUAUAUAUAUAUGUGUGUAUAUAUAUAUAUAUAUGUAUGUAUGUUGUCUUGUAUCUUGACGGUUGUACAGAAAUGUUUGUGUUGCCUAGAGACGGUAUACAUUCCAUAUUAAAACAUACGGCUCACUUGUCCAGAAAAAAAUGUUUAUUGUGUGCGUUCGAGUCAGGGAGAGCACGUCUUUCUGUUUCUUUUAAAGAAUUUGGGCUGUAUGGCUGAACAAAUAAGGUUUAGUUGAAUCUCCUUUACGGUUUACAUAUUAGAAUUGGGGCUGCAUGGCUGGACAAAGAUUUAGUCGAAUCUCCUUAACACGGAACCCAAACCGGCUGCGUGCGCCAUCGUGCACACAAACUGAUUUUGUACCCCCACAUCAAACGCGAUCGUGACACGCAGGUUAAAAUAUCAAAACAAACUCUGAACCAAUUACAUUUAUUUGGGGACAGGUUGAAAAGCAUUAAACAUUUAUGGCAAUUUAGCUAGCUAGCUUUCACUUGCUAGCUAAUUUGUCCUAUUUAGCUAGCUUGCUGUUGAUAGCUAAUUUGUCCUGGGAUAUUAACAUUGCGUUAUUUUACCUGAAAUGCACAAGGUCCUCCGACAAUUAAUCCACACAAACGGUCAACCGAAUCGUUUCUAGUCAUCUCUCCUCCUAGUCCUUUUCUCUUGGCCCUAUCAUAAAUUAUGGCAACUUUCAUAAAUUAUGUACAUUACCGCCACUGACCUUGUUAGUCUUUCAGUCACCUACGUGGGUAUAACUAAUAAGGAGACGGCACGUGGGUGGGUACCUGCUUCUAUAAACCAAUGAGGAGAUGGGAGAGGCAGGACUUGCAGCGCGAUCUGCGUCACAAAUAGAACUGACUUCUAUUUUAGCCCUUGGCAACGCAGAGGCUUGUUGGGGCGUGCACAAUAAUUGAAUAAUAUAGAUUUCUAAAUUAAUUUUGCAACGCUUGCGCAAGCGGUGUAGUCAGCCUGUUAUAGUGUCCAUAUUAGGACAGGCUCGCCGUACUCCUUAGAAAAGGAUCAUGACGUUUAGAAUGAUUCGGUCCAUAAAAAGGAUAUGACCACUACAUGUCAUGACGACAACAGACAUUACCUGAAUUAGGAAAGCUGCUGUUUUGUAGUAAUAAGAGACUGCUAUGAGGUGGUUAUGGUUCAAUGGUUUCUAAACAGACAUACUUUUUAUAUAAUAAUAUAUGCUAUUUAGCAUAUAUGCCAAUUUUACUUAUUGUCAUCCGUGCAUACAUUUGACAUAUGGGUGGCCCCGGGAAUCGAACCCACAACCCUGCAAGCGCCAUGCUCUACCAACUGAUCCACACAGGACCCAUGAAGGUAGAUUUGAAAUGCACUACAGUCUCUGCUAAAUGGCUCUCCUACUUGUCAGCGAAGUGAUUGGAAACCCUUUCAGAAUGGGUAGAGAGGAGGGAGAGUGUGCAUUGACAAUGGGACAGAUGCAGUUGUUGUUCGCGGUAGCGUUGAACACCAAUUAACUCGACGGUGAAUGUGGGAAGAUCAUUACGAGUGUCGUAUAUGCGUUUCACAUAAGCCUUAGCUAUUCUCUAUAAUGUGUUUCUAGCUAUUAUAGAACAGAAAAUCCAGCAGAAGUGGAGCCUCUAUCAUUAUUUUAUUAUGUUGCAUUGUCUAUUCUGUUCCUUAUGUGAGAUUUUCAGGUGUAAGAUUUUCCACUCGUAGCAAACAACAAUGUCAUUUCUGAGAAACUGAUGCUAGUGUCAAGACUGCAUUCAGUUCUAAACAAGUAGUGCAUUAUGAUAUGUAAAUAAAUCUGUCAUGUUUAAA
ensembl:lncRNA